AGCGCCAGGAGUUUCUGGUGCCCACCGCGUUGGAGCGUGUCAGUCGCCAGGACCACAGGUUGUCAAGGAGUGGCUUGCCGUGCUCAGCUGAUGGCUCACCAAGAUGAACCCGUGUGUGGACCAAUGGGAACAGGCAAGCGAGCACUUGGUCCAUCCAACAGGACCACACACAGACAGCUCCUUUAGGGCUUACCUCAUUUGUUUCGCCUUUGCAACAUGAUGGAGACGGACUGCUCGACUUACCUGACGAGGGUACGUGCCAGAUCCCCAAUGACCCAGUUUGAGCAGACAGAGGCAUGGUCGAGGCAGCGUGACCAGUUGCGUUCAGUAUUGCACAACUUGAGAAGCUGUGUGCAGUAUGAAGACAGCCACGGGUCGUCCCAGGCCUCGUCGUCGUUCCCGUGUCCGGCGACCGCGCACCAGCCGACGUCUCAGUACUACACAACUGCAGGAUACGAUCCAGCUACUGCGUUCGGCCAUGCUGGAAUAUUUAGAGGGGCACCACCAGUUGGCGGACCAUAUCAAGGGAUGGUACCGGGGCCACAAAUACCGACAUACACAGGAUUCUACCUCGAUGCGGGCGCCGGACCUUCAUUCUCCUUUCGACCUGAUACAAAACAC